rnacentral:lncRNA from 1 species
CAUCACACACAACACACACACGUAUCACACAUACACACACACAUCACACACACACACAUCACAUCAUACACACACAUCACGCACACACACACACACACAUCAAACACGCGCAUCACACACACGCACACACAACACACACACGUAUCACACAUACACACACACAUCCCAUACAAAUACACACAUAUAUCAUAUCACACAAACACAAACACACAGAAUACAGACACAUCACACACACAUCAUACUCACACAAAGACACACACACACAUCACACAUACACACACAAAGACACACACACCCAAACACAUCACACACACAUCAGACGCACAGACACACACACACACCACACAUAUCACACACACACACAUAUAUC